rnacentral:SRP_RNA from 2 species
GCCGGGUGUGGUGGCUCACACCUAUAAUCCCAGCAUUUUGGGAGGCCGAGGUAGGUGGAUCACCUCAGGUCAGGAGUUUUGAGACCAGCCUGACCAACAUGGUGAAACCCUAUCUCUA